rnacentral:rRNA from 1 species
UACAGAGGUCCCGAGCGUUGUUCGGAUUCAUUGGGCGUAAAGGGUGCGUAGGCGGCUUUCUAAGUCUGAUGUGAAAUCCUGGGGCUCAACCCUGGAACUGCAUUGGAUACUGGGAGGCUAGAGUACUGGAGAGGAAACUGGAAUUCCCGGUGUAGCGGUGAAAUGCGCAGAUAUCGGGAAGAACACCCGUGGCGAAGGCGGCUCUCUGGGACGGUACUGACGCUGAGACGCGAAAGCGUGGGGAGCGAACAGG